AGAAGUUGGAAUAUAAUUUAUGUAAACAUAUAAUAUGUUGAUUAUUUAUAACCAAUCAGUUGCAUUAUUAUCAUUCACUGGAUUCACUUUAUUUCUGUUCUUUACUCCUUUCCUUCUUACACCAAUUAGGCUUUAACUCACAAGGCCAUUUGUGGAACUGUGGCCAUAUUAUCUAUGAGUUCUAUAACAGUAUGAAUGGGUAUCU